AGAGCAGAUAGAGAGAGAGGUUAAAAAAAUACAGAAGGUCUUGUUGAGCUAUGUUGAUGAGACUUAUGUUACAGCAAACUUCCUGUUCCCCUGGCUUUAAGAUCUUUGCCCCCUCUUCUACAAUGACCUCUGAGCCUUUGCAGGAGCUGUGCUGUAGAUGGAUCAGGUGGGAAAAAGCAACCAUGAGAACAUCAUUGGAAGUGACAACAUGGGAGGGGAAAGCUCUCCCGACCUCAAGCCUAAACAACCCUCAAUCCCACGGCAACUCGGGACUGCUGAGAGCAGAUACCACCACUGUUACCAUUGACAUCUGAGUUUGAAAGAGGACAAUACGGUACCUUUAUGCUUCUUCUUCCCAGUGUUGUGAACUUUCAAAGUUUCCUGUCUUCUGUGAAGUUCUUCUCAUGGGACCAUCAUACCUUUUCCAUCCACUUCAGGCUGAGAUCAUUAAAGAGACAUCAGUAAAAAUUCCUUUCACGCUCGAGGAAGAGAACAAUUACCCUCUUCAAGCCUGAAGAUUUAAAAACCAUGUUGUCUUUCAUCAGCAUGGUUCACAAGAAAGUUGUGCUGAUACUUCAUACUUGAAAGGGGCUUGAUGUUUUCAGAGCAACUCUAAGUAUCAAUUAGAUGACAUCUCUGUGAAGCAGGAGACACCUCUAGGAGUGCCCGUGAGGGCUUUCCCGAAGAAGUUGUGAUGAGAGAAGAAAACCCACUUGGAGGACUGAUGUCCCAGACCAAAGGAGCGAGCAAGCUGAGUGCCGUGGCUCAUCUCGCUUGGCUUCCUGACUGUAGAAGCCAUGUGACCAGCCGCCUCACGCUCCAUGCCACGCCUUCCCUGCCAUGAUGGACUGUACCCCCUCAGACCACGGGCCAAGACUGAUCUUUCUUAACCUGCCUUAGUCAGGAGUUCUGUCACAGUGGUGGGAAAAGGGACCAAAGUGUGCACUUACUGUACACGCCCACACAGGUCAGAAAGGAGGGACUCCGUGGUGUGGGCUGACAAAGUUUCACAGUAAUAGAGACAGCAAGCAAAACAAGGACUCCUAUCACUUCAGGAUACACAUAGUACAUACAAAGAAGUACAAACACCUGGACAAGCUGACUUGAUGAUCAUCAGAUUCUGGGUUAUUGCACAACAGGUCCUCAGUCAGUAACUAAUGGUAUGGGGAAUUAAGGGGCAGUGUACAAUGUUACAGCAAAAAGGUUAUAGGAAAUGCUACACAGGGUCUCUUAGUACUAGACAAACGUGCUAGAAGCUCUAGUUUUGAAGGACUAUCAGAUAUGAAAGGAAGGGCAGAACCCCAAUAGUGAAAUGAGUAACACUGUGAGGGUAGAAACAGGCUGCACUCACACAAACAGCUUUCCCAGUCCUAGUGGACACUCUAGCUAGUCCUGUAGUUGACUUCAGAGUUCAACC